CAAUUACCAAUAGUGUCCAGUGUCUUUAAACAUUUAUUUCCCACAGCCUCUUACAGUCCAUACUCUUUUUGUUUAUUUUUUUACAGUCUGUACCCGUUCCUCCUAAAGAAGAUGUUCUGGCAGAUGAUGUGCUUUGAAACUCACACAUUGAGCGGACGAAACAAUCCUGAAACUCUCGUUUGAUGUUGCCGAUUCAUGACCUGAGGUCACUGGGCUUGAUGAGGUCUUUGCAGCAAAGGUUAUAAGUAUCAUGAUGAGUAUUAGGUAAAGUAUGAGGACAAGUGUGAAAGAAAAGUAAAUGUCUCCUUACCUGGUUUCUUACUUUUAUUUUCACAACUCUCAACGCUUCAAUCAACAGUUUAGCUGUUCUCUAGAGCAAGCUAGUCAAAACGUUGAGACCAAUUAUUAGGAACUCACUCCGCGGUAGUGAAGUUAAUAAGAAGAAGUCCCCUCGAUCCACUGAAGCUGAAGUAGAAGUUUAAUCCAAUUUCCUACAUUCAUCUAAAGUAGACGUAGUAACUUUUCGGGACAGUUCUUUUCAGAACUGAGAUGCUUCCCGACUUCAGAACAAAUCUACUCUGGGGUAGUAGAUAAGUGUCCCGAAUUCCGUGGUAGAAUAAACAGCAAGACAACCAAGCAUUGAUACCUCACCAUGCAAUAUCUCUCAUCCAAUAAUUCGUUGUUUUUGUUUCACACAGUCUGCAACAUGUGAUUACUUGAGAUGAUGUUAUGACAAGCAACGGUGCACAGAGUCAGCUUUGGACACCGAAGAUUACACCAGUUCGCUCUAUGAAAUUGGGCGCAGAUGACUAAUCACUACAAGUGUAACCGUUCAAGUGACGUAGCGUUGUUGAAUAUAACCACCACAGACAACUUGAAUGAGAUGAUGACCUUGAAGAUGACAACUCGAGUCUAACUAACUUUGUGGACUGGCCACCAGCUGAAGAAGGACUGUGUCAAGUCUAUCCAGAUGACUCUCCACUACAAGUUCAACCUUUCGAGUGACGUAGCAAUAGUGAGGCUAACCAACGUUCUUCGGACAGAUUCAAAAAGUCAACUACAGACUUCUUGAUUGAAAUGAUGAUAUUAAAGAUGACAUCUCGAGUCUAACUACACUUUUUGGACUGACCACCAGCUAAAGGAGGACUGUGUCAAGUCUAGCAAGAUGAUCACCCACUACAAGUUCAACCGUAUGAGUAACGUAGCGAUGUUGAGACUAGCCAACAAUUUUGGACGGAGCAUAGAGUCAACAAUAGACUACUUGAUUGACUCGAUGACCUUGGAGAUGACAUUGAGGCUUUUCAACACUUUCUCGACUGUGGGCGCCACCAGCUGAAGAAGGCCGGUUUCAGUUUAAGCUCAAUUAUAACGCUAUGCUACAAGUUCAAGUUACAUUAGGAAUGUUGUGAUGAUGUAACCACCUAUUUAUGGACUGUACCUGAAGAUCCGCGUCAAAGUUCAAGCCACCAAGGAACAAGACAUUUUAACACAUUUCAGAGCUAACUCCAACCGAAGGUGAUUUUACACAUGGUUGUACCAUGGAACUUUACUAUUUUCCCCACCAUGCAAAGCUUUAAUGCUUUUUGGAAUGAUACCAACUGAAGACAGACGGUGUCAAGUUUAGCAUUCUGACCAACCACAUCAACUGAAACAAGCUGGACCAUGAUGGCGCCCUCUAUGAUAACAAUCGACGGGAGGACCAGGGCCCAAUUCCAUAGGGCUGCUUGAGCAGAAAGUAUAAACAAUUGUCUGCU